UACGAACGGCCCGAGCGUUGCGCGGAAUCAUUGGGUUUAAAGGGUCCGUAGGCGGGAUAAUAAGUCAGCGGUGAAAGUCUGUGGCUCAACCAUAGAAUUGCCAUUGAUACUGUUGUUCUUGAGUGCUUAUGAAGUGGUUAGAAUAUGUAGUGUAGCGGUGAAAUGCAUAGAUAUUACAUAGAAUACCGAUUGCGAAGGCAGAUCACUAAUAAGAUACUGACGCUGAUGGACGAAAGCGUGGGUAGCGAACAGG
rnacentral:misc_RNA from 1 species